rnacentral:rRNA from 1 species
AACGAACGCUGGCGGCAUGCCUAACACAUGCAAGUCGAACGAGACCUUCGGGUCUAGUGGCGCACGGGUGCGUAACGCGUGGGAACCUGCCCUUAGGUUCGGAAUAACUCCCCAAAAGGGGUCCUAAUACCGGAUAAUGUCUUCGGCCCAAAGAUUUAUCGCCUUUGGAUGGGCCCGCGUUGGAUUAGCUAGUUGGUAGGGUAAAAGCCUACCAAGGCGACGAUCCAUAGCUGGUCUGAGAGGAUGAUCAGCCACACUGGGACUGAGACACGGCCCAGACUCCUACGGGAGGCAGCAGUGGGGAAUAUUGGACAAUGGGCGAAAGCCUGAUCCAGCAAUGCCGCGUGAGUGAUGAAGGCCUUAGGGUUGUAAAGCUCUUUUACCCGGGAUGAUAAUGACAGUACCGGGAGAAUAAGCUCCGGCUAACUCCGUG